rnacentral:rRNA from 1 species
AUGGACCUACGGGGCGCAGCAGUGAGGAAUAUUGGUCAAUGGGCGGAAGCCUGAACCAGCCAAGUCGCGUGAGGGAAUAAGGCCCUACGGGUCGUAAACCUCUUUUGCCGGGGAGCAAGGGCGGGGACGUGUCCCGGCCCGGAGCGUACCCGGAGAAAAAGCAUCGGCUAACUCCGUGCCAGCAGCCGCGGUAAUACGGAGGAUGCGAGCGUUAUCCGGAUUUAUUGGGGUUAAAGGGUGCGUAGGCGGGCUUGUAAGUCAGCGGUAAAAAUUCGGGGCUCAACCACGCACGGCCGUUGAAACUG